GAAGAACCUUACCUGGUCUUGACAUAGUAAGAACUUUCCAGAGAUGGAUUGGUGCCUUCGGGAACUUACAUACAGGUGCUGCAUGGCUGUCGUCAGCUCGUGUCGUGAGGUGUUGGGUUAAGUCCCGCAACGAGCGCAACCCUUUUCCUAUUUGCCAGCGGGUUAAGCCGGGAACUUUAAGGAUACUGCCAGUGACAAACUGGAGGAAGGCGGGGACGACGUCAAGUCAUCAUGGCCCUUACGACCAGGGCUACACACGUGCUACAAUGGUCGGUACAAAGGGUUGCUACCUAGCGAUAGGAUGCUAAUCUCAAAAAGCCGAUCGUAGUCCGGAUUGGAGUCUGCAACUCGACUCCAUGAAGUCGGAAUCGCUAGUAAUCGCGGAUCAGAAUGCCGCGGUGAAUACGUUCCCGGGCCUUGUACACACCGCCCGUCACACCAUGGGAGUUUGUUGCGCCAGAAGUAGGUAGUCUAACCGCAAGGAGGACGCUUACCACGGUGUGGCCGAUGACUGGGGUGAAGUCGUAACAAGGUAAGCGUAGAUGA
rnacentral:rRNA from 1 species